UACAGCCACAUCAUGUUGAAACACCAGUUUCUGUACGAUCACCAAAGUUAAGCAACGUUGAGCCUGGUUAGCACCAAGAUGGGUGACUGCUUUGGAAUACCAGGUGCUGUAAG